rnacentral:rRNA from 1 species
GAUGAACGCUGGCGGCAUGCCUAAUACAUGCAAGUCGAGCGAGAAGACGAGGAGCUUGCUCCCCUGACGUUAGAGGCGGACGGGAGAGUCACACGUGGAUAACCUAACUCUAAGACUGGGGUAACUACGGGAAACCGUGUCUAAUACCGGAUAAUAUAUUGCACUGCGUGGUUCAAUAGUUAAAUACGGUUUUUCUGUCGCUUAUAGCUUAACCCGCGCACCAUUAGCUAGUUGGUAAGGUAACGGCUUACCCAGGCAACGAUGCGUAAACGACCUGAGCGGGUGAUCGGCCACCCUGGAACUGAGACACGGUCCAGACUCCUACGGGAGGCAGCAGUAGGGAAUCCUACGCAAUGGGCGAGAGCCUGACGGAGCAACGCCGCGUGAGUGAUGAAGGUCUUCUGAUCCUAAAACUAUGUUAUUAGGGAAGAACAAAUGUGUAAGUAACUAUGAACGUAUUGACGGUACCUAAACAGAAAGCCACGGCUAACUACGUG